ACAGCAGUAGCCGCGGGAAUACAGAGGGUGCAAGCGUUAAUCGGAAUUACUGGGCGUAAAGCGCGCGUAGGUGGUUUGUUAAGUUGGAUGUGAAAGCCCCGGGCUCAACCUGGGAACUGCAUCCAAAACUGGCAAGCUAGAGUACGGUAGAGGGUGGUGGAAUUUCCUGUGUAGCGGUGAAAUGCGUAGAUAUAGGAAGGAACACCAGUGGCGAAGGCGACCACCUGGACUGAUACUGACACUGAGGUGCGAAAGCGUGGGGAGCAAACAGGAUUAGAUACCCGAGUAGUCCCUGUCUCUUAUAC
rnacentral:rRNA from 1 species